AGCUUUGCGCAGUGGCAGUAUCGUAGCCAAUGACGUUUAUCCGAGGCGCGAUUAUUGCUAAUUGAAAAAUACUGUCUUAAAUGGUGGUUAAUUCCCACAUAAUCUUUAAAAAACUCUCUAAU
rnacentral:snRNA from 1 species